UGGAGUGGUCUUGUUAGAGAUUAUAUGUGGGAGGAAACCAAUCGAAGAUGCAGUUUCUGAAGAAGAAGUCAACCUUGUGAGAUGGGUAAUGCUCCAUGCAGAGGCAAACGAAGACAUCCCUUCUCGCUUGACCAACAUCAUAGAUAAGAGGUUGUCUUUGGGCGAAAAUGAGAUGCAAAGUUUCAAAUGUGUUGUUAAUCUUGCAUUGCAAUGUGUGGAUAGAGAAGGAUCCAAGAGACCCACCAUGAAUGGGAUUGUGGCAGGGAUAAGAGUAGCUAUGCUUUAUAUCGAGCCUAAAGAUCUAGACAUAAAUGCUGAAAAAUCUGUGGAUGCCUUGCCAACAGAGGAAUAUGGUUCAGCUGAUUGUAGCAGCAGCCUCCAUCAAGCUGGCAGAUGACAUAAAUAUUCAGCUAAACCAUUCAUGAGAUUGCUCAACAAUUCAAUGAAUAUAUGGUAUCAAUUGCCCCAAUCUAAAGUAGAGAUGUGACCUUGGAGCACAUCCGGAAAAUGUUGUUCAUCUGAUUGCCAUCUUCAAUGCAAUUGUCGAAAGCUAUCUAUAAUAGGGUUAAUGUCAGUUGCCAUUGCGUAGUCUAUAUUGUACUAGAGAGACUGAAGAAGUUCA